rnacentral:rRNA from 1 species
GGGACGAUAAUGACGGUACCUGGAGAAGAAGCCACGGCUAAUCACGUGCCAGCAGCCGCGGUAAUACGUGAGUGGCAAGCGUUAUCCGGAAUUACUGGGCGUAAAGAGCGCGUAGGCGUCUCGAUAAGUCAGAGGUGAAAAGUCAGGGCUCAACCUUGGCCUUGCCUUUGAAACUAUCGAGAUAGAGUACUGGAUAGGAGGGCGGAACUACAAGUGUAGCGGUGGAAUGCGUAGAUAUUUGUAGGAAUGCCGAUGACGAAGGUAGCUCUCUGGACAGAUACUGACGCUGAGGUGCGAGAGCUAGGGGAGCAAACAGGAUUAGAUACCCUGGUAGUCCUAGCUGUAAACGAUGGAUACUGGGUGUGGGCCAUAGUAUGGUCCGUGCCGAAGCUAACGCGAUAAGUAUCCCGCCUGGGGAGUACGACCGCAAGGUUGAAACUCAAAGGAAUUGACGGGGACCCGCACAAGCAGUGGAGCAUGUGGUUUAAUUCGACGCAACGCGAGGAACCUUACCAGCUCUUGACA